rnacentral:rRNA from 9 species
CCUGGCGGCAGUAGCGCGGUGGUCCCACCUGACCCCAUGCCGAACUCAGAAGUGAAACGCCGUAGCGCCGAUGGUAGUGUGGGGCCUCCCCAUGCGAGAGUAGGGAACUGCCAGGC